UACAGAGGUCCCAAGCGUUGUUCGGAUUCACUGGGCGUAAAGGGUGCGUAGGUGGUUAGGUAAGUCCGGUGUGAAAUCUCCAGGCUCAACCUGGAAAUGGCAUUGGAUACUAUUUAGCUAGAGGAGUGGAGGGGGGACUGGAAUCUCGGUGUAGCAGUGAAAUGCGUAGAUAUCAAGUGGAACACCAGUGGCGAAGGCGAGUCUCUGGACAUUUCCUGACGCUGAGGCACGAAAGCCAGGGGAGCAAACGGG
rnacentral:rRNA from 1 species